UUCGGCAGAAUUUGAAUGUUUACAUAAAUUAGAAGAUUUCCAUCUAUGUCCACUGGAAGAUUAUAAAAAAAGAAGAGAGAAAAUUUAAGCAGGCAGACCUCCAGAGCUUUGAUAGGUCAUUUGGGUGGUACCUUUGGUGUAUUGGAUACAAAGAAGAAAUGGAUUCAGUUCCUGCCUCUGGCACACACUAGCUGGAUAGAAAAUGUUAGGUAUCACUUGAUGUCUCUGUCAAGUCUCUAAGACUUUUAAGACUGUAAUUUUCCCAAGAGUUGGUCCUGUGAUGUACUUAUCAUGGAAGUAACUUAAUCUUCCCCAGUGGGAAGCUGGCCCAAAACCUUCGAUGCAAGUAAGUGCUCCAUGAAUGUUUACUGAAUGAAUGAUCACACCACAAGUAUU
rnacentral:lncRNA from 1 species